AAAAAUAAGAUUUUUAGGUUUAGUUUGAUAAGUUCUUUAAUUUUAGAAACCAUUUUUUAAAUUGAAGUACUCUCUUUGUUUUAGAGAUAAAUCUCUUAGAAAAAGAUAUUGCCUUUUUGAUCGGUAAUACGUUUACGAUUUAUUUCUUUAGAUAACAUUUAGGGAGAAGUUAUCUAUUAGGGAAAGGAUUGUUUAUUUAGGUAAAAAUUUGGUAGGAUUAUCUAUUAGGAAAAAAAAGGAGGAGACGUUUUCUUUAGAAGGUGAAAAUCUUUCGGAAGGUGUUGGGCUUCUAUAAAAGAAAGAUGGUACCAUGCAAUGGGGAAGAUUGGAACUUUUAGGAAUGGAAGAAAGAGAUAUUUGAGAUCGUGUAGAGGGAGAGAGAGCUUUUCAUGGGUGUUUUUUCUUCUUGUUUGCUUGUAGACCCGUGUCGAAAUAUUUGUGUCUAUGUGUUUUUUUCUAUCUACUUGUGACUUUCUUCACGAAUUGUACUUCUCUUAAAUGCGGAUAUUUUGGGUGUUCACGGGUGAGUUCUAUACUGCAUCAAAUACCUUUGGACAUCGAAUUUUAAAUUGGAUAGUUUGAGUUGUGUCAUGAAAUUAAAAAAAAAGUUACUUUUUUAUGAUUGUUUUCACAAUUUUUGCUUCUCUUAAAUACGAUUAUUUUAGAUAUUCACUAGUGAAUUUUAUAUCGUUACCUUUGGCCAUCGAAUUUUAAAUUGGAUAGUUUGAGUUGUCGUGAAAUUCAAAAAAAAAUUCUUUAAAGUUUGACACAAUCACAUCCACUCAGUUGAUUUCUAACAUAUAGAAUUGUAAUCUCCUUGACCGAGAAGUAAAUGAUUUAUUUAUAUAAGUUUCGAAUUAGUUUCCAAUUAGUGAAGGAUUUUUAUUUAUUUAUUUUGGGAUGACGUUUCUAUAAUACCUAGGUUUUACGAAAACAAAAUAAAAAAUCUUUCGGUAAUAAAAAUUUUCAUGAUGGAUUUAAAAUCAAUUUUCAAAGUCGAAAGUAUAAAAAAUAGUACGCGGAGUCUAUAAAUAUUUAUUUUAUAUUGAUAAUUUGUUAUAAUAUACAUUAUUUUGUUUAGCAUGAGACGAGGAUUUUCUUGGGGCUGCGGGCCUAUCAAACCAGUUUCCUGUAUUUUUUCCUCUUCUCUCUCUCAAAAAUCGGAAAAAAAAAAAAAAAAGCUUCCGCGCGUACCACCACCGCAGCCAAUUUCCCAGUGUCCUCCCAUCACAUACACACCUGGGCGCUCUCUAUGUAUUCCUCGCAUGCCAUUGCGCCCAUCUCUUUCUCUCUCGAUGUCGCCGGGAUGGGCUGCCAUUUCCACGUUCAGAAGUGGAGUAUUCCCCUCUCAUUUCCGGGCAUUAAUUGCCCAUAAAUGUUAUUCUUCUUCAAAUUCAGGAGAUGAUGAUGCUUCACUUUCUGAAGAGGUAAUGGGUCAAUCAAUGUUCGAGAAGUGGCAUAAUGGCGGUGGUUUGUUCCACAAGUCCUCUUGUAUUGAUCCAACAGCAGUUAUAGAAGCAGGUUCCAUAGUCCAUCCAAAAGCUGUACUUGGUGCUAAUGUUCAUCUUGGAUCAGGAGCUGUUGUAGGGCCUUCUGUGAAAAUAGGACAUUCAGCAAAAAUUGGGUAUAAUGCUGUUGUAUGUAAUUGCUCUAUUGGUGAAUCUUGUAUCAUUCAUAGUGGGGUGUGUAUUGGCCAGGAUGGCUUUGGCUUUCUGGUGGAUGCUCAUGGAAACUUGGUGAAGAAACCCCAACUGUUGUAUGCGAGAAUUGGGAACCAUGUGGAAAUCGGUGCUAAUUCAUGCAUUGAUCGGGGCAGUUGGAGAGACACAGUUAUAGGAGAUCAUACCAAGAUAGAUAAUCUAGUCCAGAUAGCUCACAAUGUAGUCAUUGGCAAAUGUUGCAUCAUUUGCGGUCAAGUCGGGGUUGCAGGUUCUGUUAUGAUCGGGGACAAUGUUACAUUGGGAGGGAAGGUCGCCAUAAGAGAUCAUGUUAAAAUUUCUUCAAAGAAGCUAGGUACUGAUUCCCAAGAAGCUGUAGGUACGGUUUGCAGCUAACAGUUGCGUCACAAAGGACAUCACCGAGCCUGGUGAUUAUGGAGGUUUUCCAGCGGUUCCAAUUCAUGAAUGGCGGAGACAAGUUGCUUCCAUUAACCGAGUCGGGCGGAGAAGUAGGCCAGGCAAUACAUAAAUUCACGAAGAUCGUAACUCUCCAUUUCCUUUUUCUUGGAGCUGGGCUGCAAACCUCUUUUACAGCCGAUGUUGUAGAGAUAAGGGAGAAAAUGAGGUGGAGAUCAAGGUGUAAAAAUCUGUCAUCAUGGACCAUGUAGGGUAGCGUCUGGAACUGAUAUACGUAUGGGUAAGAACAAAAUAGUUGCUUGUUUCUGAAAAAUAGCAGUCUAAUCCAGAGUGUUCAGUAUAACCUUUUGCAGACAAGCAUACACUAUAGAAGGUGCACUUACGCCCUCCAACAGAGAUUUAGCAUAGAUUCCAAGAGGGAUGCUGUCAUUUGAGGUUGAUUUCAUUUGUUACGUUCUCCACGAUCUUCCCAAUAGUUCAUAGAAGCUAUUGUCAUUUGAUUCCUGUUUGUGGUUCUGAUAUUCAAUAUCCAAAGGCGCCUAUAACAAGCAUAAGGUGUUAUUUUAACUUUGACGUACUCAUUAUGUUUUAAACUUUGAAUAUUGUUCAGGAUACUUUUGGUGGGUAAUUUA